rnacentral:rRNA from 1 species
UACAGGGGGGGCAAGCGUUGUUCGGAAUUACUGGGCGUAAAGGGCUCGUAGGCGGCCAACUAAGUCCGACGUGAAAUCCCAAAGCUUAACUUUGGAACUGCCUUUGAAACUGUCUGGCUUGAGGCCGGGAGAGGGUAGCGGAAUUCCAGGUGUAGCGGUGAAAUGCGUAGAUAUCUGGAGGAACACCGGUGGCGAAGGCGGCUCACUGGCCCGGUACUGACGCUGAGGUGCGAAAGCGUGGGGAGCAAACAGG